AUCGCACAAUAACGAACCACCAGCUUUGCAUUCAGAGAAGACGCAAACGGCCAAAAAGGAAACCAGUUUGCCGCUUCCAGUGUCCAGUAGCGGCGCCUGCGAUGAUGCGGUUCCCAGCACGAGCCGUGCGGACAAGAACGCCGCUGCAUUGGCGACAAACAACGCGAGCCGAGCAAGAGCGCAGCGAGCGUCAGCGAAUGCUGGAUCGCGCGAGACAGCGUCGACGCCGGGCAAGUUCCGAGGUGAAAGCUCAGCGAGCAGCCGCCGCUCGACAAGAUCGACAAGCCAAGCGACAACAGCCAGUGCC